CAGGAAAAGAUGGUAUGAAAUUACAAUAUUUCUGCUCAUUUAUAGAUCUAGAGGUGAAGGGGAGAUGAACAAUUUCCAGAAAUGCUGAAGCCAUGGAGAGAGAAAAACAUUUGAAAGUACUAGGCAUUUGGCAAAUACAACAGUCCUUCUGAAGAUCUUGGAGAGAAAAGAUCACAAAUCUGCCAUUUCCCUAAAGAAAAUCUUGACUCUGGAAACCAGAAUGAUCAGUGAUAAAACUCAAUGGAUGACCUUGGAAAAGCCACACUUUCAUAGCCUCAAAGUAAAGCAAUAAGAAACCUCUUCUGAAUAAAUCUUGUUAAGAAUACCCUGUGACAGGGUUGUCUUAUGGUGGCCACAGAACGGCAACAACUUGAAUGCAUAACAAACCAGAACAAAAAAAUUUGGUUUUAAAUAAACACAUAUUCAAAGUAUGUCAUGUAAUUA